rnacentral:misc_RNA from 1 species
GGUUAACGAUCAUUAAUGAAGAUUUGUGCGGGUCCUCUCUACGCCCAACAGUGUCCCUGGCCGCCUACACCCACUAUACAUCCACAAAUCCUUGUGGACUGACAUGGAGAAAGGCUUCAAAGAACUUUCUUGUGGCCUCUCUUGGGGUCUUUCUUCGCUACUGCUCUGACGGUUGAUAGGAACGUGGAACUUGGUUGGACCGUCACUGGUGACGCUUAUACACAAGUUUCGACAACGGAUCUCUUGGUUCUCCCA